CCCAAAAUUGGCUCCCGCUGCUAUAGAGGAAGAUAAGAUGUCAUGACAGGAGAGAAAUGCUUUGAGAGAAGAGAGAAAAUAUGCGACAAGUGAAUUGUAAAAUUCAUAUUUAUGCAUCUCAUGGUGUAACCAUUAAUCUUGAAUUCUUCAUCCUGAAUUUAUUUUUUUGGCAGCUAGAAGCUAGUGAAAAAAUGGAGAUAUUCAGGGGUUUCAAAUAGUUAAUGAGGCCGUGAAGCAUAUUUGGUCGAUCAAAGAAAAGAAGAAUUGAAUGAUCUAUGAGGAGGGGAAAGCGAGGGAUUGCCAAAAUUUGCCUAUUUCUAAGAUAUGCUUCUCUCUGAUAUAGAGAUCCAAUCUCAAUCUAUACAUCAAAGCUGUUCACUAUGAGCUUCAACCAUUUGCCUGCAGCAUUCCUAGUUGUGGGAUGAAAUUUGCAUUCAAACAUAUCAGGGAUAAUAAUGAAAAAUCUGGGUGACAUGUUUAUACCCAGGGAAAUUUUGAAGAGUCCAAUGAGCAAUUUGUCUAAGACCAAGAGGUUUCAGGAAAAGAACAAGCCUAGAGAUUGAGACCUUGAUGCGGAAAAGGGUUGUUUCGCCUAGUGAAUCAGGUCUCAUGAGACAGGAGGGACCUGAAUACUUGUCGUGGCUACUUUUUGGAUAUUCACAGGAUUAAACAAUCGUUGGGAGAAGACGUAGAUGCUGCCAUCAAACAUAUGUAAAAGUAUGGUAUUCAUAGGAUUAAGAGGACUUGGAUUAUUCAAAAAACAUAUGUAUAAGUAUGGUAUCUUUGUUGAUUUUAAUUGCUACUAUCGUACGAUAGACAUGUUUUGGUUUUUUUUUUUUUUUUUUUUUUUUUU